CGCAAUGACCCGUCUGCCUACUUAAAUGCCCCAGAACCCUCUUCUGCCUCUCAUCCAAAACCCUUGUUUCUCUUAUCAAUAUCUUAUCAUGUUCAGCAUUGAGUAAUGGAGUGUGUUUGCACAGAGUUAAUAAACAAUGUCUGCAAAAGUCCAGAAUAUGUCAGAGAUCUGCAGGCAAAUACAAACUCAAAUAACCCAAUAACUAUAAACAAUUACAUUCUAUCAUUUUUAUUAUCAUCUAAAAAUUUGUAGUAGCUACAUCAUUGUUGUCACGUGCAUAGUCUAUGUUUCACAGAUCCAUACUUGUGUUGGCAAAACACUUGUGUUGUGAAAACACCGACUUAUCUCACCUAAACCAGCUAUAUUUAUUUACAAUAAAUGGUGCAUUUGGCAGAUGCCAUCAUCCAAAGUAACGUACAGCGCGUUCAAUCUAUACUUUUCAAUCAGUGGGUUCCGUCGGGAUCGAACCCAUAACCCUUGCGUAGUUAACGCAAUGAUCUACCGAUUGAGAGCAAAUAGGGCACACAGAAACAGUUAAACCCUCGCAACAGUUUCAGGAAGAUUGUGUUUCAAAAAAAGUAAGGCGCAUUCUGAGUCACUUCACAAGGUUUAGACACGCGCCCAAGUUUGACAUAACGCGCGUGAAGAUUUUCUAGAACUAGAAGUUUCUUUUCGAAAAUGUACCUUGGUAAAGUAAAGGAAAUGAACAGAAACUACAGUUACUGAAUAAGCAUAAAGGAAAAAAAUUCUCUUCCGGAGAUGCUGAUUCAGAAACAGAUUUUUUUUUGCAAGACUUACAACAAGAGCUGCUAGAUGAUCCCAAGUCAGUCAUCAGAAUUUCCAGGCCAUCAACUGAAGGAAAAAGAAGAUGUUUUGAGGUUUCGGUAUCCAUGAACAGUCUGGUUGAAGACUUUCUCCUGUCAGAAUAAUAGACUGCGCUCUUGAACCGUCUGUCCCUGAAAGAGGUAACACAUACACUCUUUA